UCACAGCCAUAUGACCUUGGCAAGUCCUUGAACAUUGUUAAGCAUCAGUUUUGUUUUGUUUUUCUAUUUGUAGCAAUAACACUCUCACUGAUCUGCACACCUCCCAAGGCUCACCUAUAUCUGUUGAAAUGAGACGGUGCAUCUGAAAGUGGGUUGGAGACCAUGGGGCACUGGCAGACGUUUUUACAUUCCACUUCACUUCCAUCCCCCCAUCUUCUAGAUUUCUGUUUACAGCAGAGGACUUCAUAGAGCAGGGAAAUUAAAAAUGCAAGCCCACCCAAUGACUGAUCCUGGACCCAAUUCUGGAACAGAGAAAGGAUAUUGGAGGAAAGACUAGUGGAUUCCUAAUGAGGUGUGUAGUUUAGUUCUUGGUAUUGUACCAAGG
rnacentral:lncRNA from 1 species